GGGGCACUGUGGUUGUGGCUUUGUGGUGCAAUCCACCAAAAUUCGGCACUUUUUAAAGUGCCACCGAUUUCAAGCACAUGCUUGAUUAACACUCAGAGAAAUAAACAGUAUGUUGUAGUGCUUAACUUUGUCUGGAUUGCUCACGUUUUUGAAAUGCAGUUUUGUUGUCCUCACUGGGGAAUUAAGAUCCCCCUACCCAAAUUAAGUUCCAUUGAUUGUGCAUAGGAAUGAACCAUUUAGUCAACAGGAUUAUGCCAGACAUGUAUUCAGUCAUCCUCCUCUCUUACUCCACCUAUAAAAUGGGGAUUAUUUGCUUAACUACCUCAUCAGAAAUGUUUAUGAGUGUCUUCGAAACACUUUGAAAGCAAUGCAGAAAGAACUAGUGGAGUGUUUGACACUAAGAGUGUUGUUUACUUCUGGUGGUUCAUUUUCUCAUCUGUAGAAGUAGCAUUUAUGCCUGUAAGAUUUAAACAACAAACAAACAAACACUUGCAAACCCUUCCACUUGUGGUUCAGCUUCUGUUUCAAAAAUUCAGAAAUGAUCUUAGGGGUAAACCUUAUUGAAUUCAAUGGGACUUAGUUCUGAGUAGACAUGGUUAGGAUUGCACUGCAAAUUCUCAUUGUCUUUACCAAAAGCCUUACCCAGGUAUGGUGUGAACAGCAAAGUGUCUUUACAACAGAAUACAGAAUUGCAAGAGAGGGGUAAGGCAAACAUGUUUCUUUUGAAAAUAUUUAUUGCUUUGCCCGGAAUUUACCUUUAGUACAUGCUUAGAAACAAGUCACCGUCUGUCCUGCCGUCUGCCAGUGAAAAUAAAUAGGGAAAAUUCUCAUUGGUUUUAUAUUGUUGUAUUUGUUUUGGUACAACGCUGGUACAGUGUUGGUUCACCUUUCAGAGUGAAACGCAAGGUACAGUUACACACUGAAAUGACUGCAAUGUUCCCCAGAUGUAAUAAUGUUACUUCAGAGAAAAUUAUUCACAGUCCAGUGGGGCUGACUCCCAGGUAAGUGGGGACAAAAUUGUAGCUUCAAAGACUCUAUCCCUUUCCCAACCCUCGUGGUCCUCCUUUUGAAACUACUUUUCUGAAUGGUACAUCUGAGUAGGUGAGACAGACAAAAUAUAUCUAGGGACUUACUCGAUGAGUGGUGGUAAUCAGAUCUGGAUAUAUUUGAAGGGCAGUCUGUGCUUCAGCCAGUUUAAAGAGAAAGAGUUUGGAUUAAAGCCAGUUAAUUCUCAGUGACUUCCACUGGAUAUUUAUAUUAUUUUAUUCUUGGGUAUUAUGUAAUUUAUUUUUGCUGUCUUUGGUUUUUAAAGAGCCGGGGUGUGCCUGUAAGUACUUGAUCUUAUAAAAAUGCAGAUCUCUUUCUCUCCCAUGUGUUGCUUGUUGAUACAGCCUACUGAGAAUUUUUCCUUCUCUGUCCUUCCGUUGGGAGCUGCCCAACAUAACUUGCACAGAGUAAGAGAGAUAACUCCAGCACCUAUAUAUUCUUUAAGGCCAAUUUUAUUUUCAGAAGUUGUGGUAUGUGUAUCUCCCUAGAAAGAUUGCUAAUAGAGGCAUAAACUGCAAUCACACUUGCUGCAGAAUGGGAUUUUGGUUUUUAGAGUCAAUUCAGAAGUGUAGCUGAAUGUAUUUACUUAUUUACUCAUUCACUCGUUCACAAUAUUUAUAUGCUGCCCAAUAACAGAGUUUUCUGGAUGGCUUUUAAUAACAGUAAAAUGCAAGUGCAAACAAUAAAAUAUAAACCAGAACAAAAUCAGUAUAACAAAUCCUCACCAAGAAAUAAAUUUUAGAUUUUAAAAUGUAAGAGUCGAAGGGCUAGGAAAAUAAAAGGGUCUUGGCCCAAAAGGACCACAAAGUGAGCACUAGGCACGUCUUUCUGGGGAGACCAUUCUACAGCCAGGAUGCAAACUGCAAAAAUAGCUGUUUUCCGCUGUUGUCACCCAAUAAUUUCGGGGGGGGGGUUAAAAAGAGGUGAGCCCAGAUGAAUAUAGCUCACAUGUUUGGAAGCACUCAUAUGUCAGCAUCUCCCUGGAAGUAGAAACUCUCCCUUCAGUGGAAAUGUUAAAAUAAAAACAGCAUAUUUGAACAGGGUGCCUAUUGCCCUGCCCUGGGGUAGGCUUGAGCUAUUCAUUGUCGAAUUUUUGGAGACCUGGUGCAACAUAGUUCAAAAUAUCAGGCACAGCAGGGGACUAUGUGUAUCUCACUUAAAAAUAGGUUGAUGUGCUGCUAAUACAGGUACAGCUCACACACAUGUGCACACCCAGGAGAGAUGUGGCGGGCCCUCUGUUCACAUAAGCAGGGACAGAGGAGGUGAAGCUUCUGCUGUCUAAUACCACAUCCAAGUAGCGUGUUCAGGUGGAACAAGAGCAGCCAUUGAACAACUGCUUCCUUGGUGGCCUGCCAUGGAUUUGGGGCUAUGCACCUUUUCCUUGCAUGCCUUCUUUCCCUCUGCCUCCUUGCAGGGUGGCAAAAAAGAGGAGGGGAGGCGUGUCCCCAGAACUGGGCCAAAUAAAGUUGCACUGUGUUUUUGAAGCUGGGAAGCUGAAAUAAGAGACCUUCAUUUAGCCACCUUCAAGAGCCUUAAAUCAGGUUCCAUGGAAACUACUUAUAGUCUCCCUGGUUGAUGGCUGCAAUGGGAGGGGGGAAGUCCUUCUCCAGUCACUUUCCAGCCUCUCUUUAUCAACCUUGCAGCUCUCCUCCCUUCUCCUUCCAUCCCUUUUCUAUUACAGGAGAGAGAAGAAGAUAUGUGUACCGUGUCAAUGUCUGUUCAUUUCUGGGGGGUUCUUGUCUGCUCCAAUGGGCAACAAUUUCCCCUGGGCUACCAGUGAAGGAACUCCAUGGUUAAAGGGCCUAUAUUGUACAUCCCACUAUGAGUUCAUCUUUCUGAGUUUGCUGCUGUAUUUAAGAGUUUAUUGAAUGGAAUAUGUUAGGGAUAUCCUUGUACCUGCUGGUGUGUUGAGCACUUGUUCUCGCCACAGGGUUUUGUUAAGAUGAUGCCUGUGAAAAUGAAGAUAGCAAAGUGCAAGCGUUUAUUUUAAUCUUCUGUGUUUGCUUGUUUGCUUUUUAAAUGAUUUGUUCUUAAAAGUCUUGGUUGCUAAUUAUAUUGUAAAAUCAAGGUACUGUACAUUUUUUGGCAGAAAGGGGGGGAAGUAAAGAAAUCCAAAUAAAACUGUUUCUGAAAUC